UACGGGGGGGGCAAGCGUUGUUCGGAAUUACUGGGCGUAAAGGGCCAGUAGGCGGCCAACUAAGUCGGAUGUGAAAUCCCCAGGCUCAACUUGGGAACUGCAUCCGAUACUGGAUGGCUUGAAUUCGGGAGAGGGAUGCAGAAUUCCAGGUGUAGCGGUGAAAUGCGUAGAUAUCUGGAGGAACACCGGUGGCGAAGGCGGCUCGCUGGGACGGUACUGACGCUGAGACGCGAAAGCGUGGGGAGCGAACGAGG
rnacentral:rRNA from 1 species